rnacentral:rRNA from 1 species
GUCUUCGGAUCGUAAAGCUCUGUUGUUAGGGAAGAACAAGUACCGUUCAAAUAGGGCGGUACCUUGACGGUACCUAACCAGAAAGCCACGGCUAACUACGUGCCAGCAGCCGCGGUAAUACGUAGGUGGCAAGCGUUAUCCGGAAUUAUUGGGCGUAAAGCGCGCGCAGGCGGUCCUUUAAGUCUGAUGUGAAAGCCCACGGCUCAACCGUGGAGGGUCAUUGGAAACUGGGGGACUUGAGUGCAGAAGAGGAGAGCGGAAUUCCACGUGUAGCGGUGAAAUGCGUAGAGAUGUGGAGGAACACCAGUGGCGAAGGCGGCUCUCUGGUCUGUAACUGACGCUGAGGCGCGAAAGCGUGGGGAGCGAACAGGAUUAGAUACCCUGGUAGUCCACGCCGUAAACGAUGAGUGCUAAGUGUUAGAGGGUUUCCGCCCUUUAGUGCUGCAGCAAACGCAUUAAGCACUCCGCCUGGGGAGUACGGUCGCAAGACUGAAACUC